GCCUGGGAGGCUCAGCUGGUUGAGCAUAUGACUUUGGCUCAGGUCAUGAUCUCACAGUUUGUGGGUUUGAGCCCCACCUCAGGCU
rnacentral:tRNA from 1 species